UAAUAUCAGAACAUCAGACAUGUUAAUAUGUGUUGUAGUGGUUUAAUAAUAUCAGAACAUCGGACAUGUUAAUAUGUGUUGUAGUGGUUUAAUAAUAUCAGAACAUCAGACAUGUUAAUAUGUGUUGUAGUGGUUUAAUAAUAUCAGAAUAUCAGACAUGUUAAUAUGUGGAUGGGCAUUACUCUGGAUCAGAAGGUUGGGUUUUGGUUGGGGAGAUGGAUGGGCAUUACUCUGGAUCAGAAGGUUGGGUUUUGGUUGGGGAGGUGGAUGGGCAUUACUCUGGAUCAGAAGGUUGGGUUUUGGUUGGGGAGGUGGAUGGGCAUUACUCUGGAUCAGAAGGUUGGGUUUUGGUUGGGGAGGUGGAUGGGCAUUACUCUGGAUCAGAAGGUUGGGUUUUGGUUGGGGAGGUUGAUGGGCAUUACUCUGGAUCAGAAGGUUGGGUUUUGGUUGGGGAGGUGGAUGGGCAUUACUCUGGAUCAGAAGGUUGGGUUUUGGUUGGGGAGGUGGAUGGGCAUUACUCUGGAUCAGAAGGUUGGGUUUUGGUUGGGGAGACGGAUGGGCAUUACUCUGGAUCAGAAGGUUGGGUUUUGUUGGGGAGGUGGAUGGGCAUUACUCUGGAUCAGAAGGUUGGGUUUUGGUUGGGGAGGUUGAUGGGCAUUACUCUGGAUCAGAAGGUUGGGUUUUGGUUGGGGAGGUGGAUGGGCAUUACUCUGGAUCAGAAGGUUGGGUGUCUGAUCCCAGUAUUUUUUAAUUUAUACUGAACAAAAAUAUAACGCAACAUGCAACAAUAUCAAAGAUUUUACUGAGUUACAGUUCAUAGAAGGAAAUCCAUCAGUUGAAAUAAAUAAAUGAGGUCCUAAUCUAUGGAUUUCACAUGACUGGGCAGGGGCUCAGCAAUGAGUGGCCCCUGGGAGGGCAUAGGCCCACCCACUUGGGAGCCGGGUCUACCCACUGGGGAGGCAUUCCCAGCCAAUCAGAAUUAUUUUUCCCCCACAAAAGGGUUUUAUUACACACAGAAAUACUCCUGUGCACCCCUCCC
rnacentral:lncRNA from 1 species